CCCCGCUGCGUAUUCGUAACGAGAGACUCCGCUAUAUCAGAAUCCCCCUCUACUGAAUCCAUCUAAACUAUAUACAUACUCGUGGUGCUGAACCUUGCUCCGCUCUGCAGUGACAGUUACCAAUAAAAAUGAGAUAAGGAAGGGUCUCCAAUAUCCAACAAAAUGAGAUAAUCUCCUUUUGAAGAGGUUGGGAUUCGAACUCACUACCUUGACUCAGCAGUGGUGGCCUCAACACCAAGUGCCUACUUGAGAAAGCAUUCCAUGAACAGCGCCCCUUUGCUACCCUGAGAAAAGAGGUGGUUGUUAGAUAUUAAAACGACUCAUAUAUCCAUCGCCGUUGAUGUUCAUACAUAUAGGUGUCAAAAGGGGUCAUGCAAAUAGCACCACCACGCCUUAUUCCAUGCUGUGAACUCCCGGAAGAUACCGCUUCUCAUUUUCUGCAUCCCCAGGAAAAGGCGAUCGCCUAACAAUAGAUUUCCCAAAGUAUAUCACAUACACUCUUCGGGCGAACCCUUCACUGGUAGCGUUUAUACUGAACAGUGAUAUCCCGCAAGUGGAUAUCUCCAUGUCGCACGUUAUACGCAUAUAUUAAUGAUUCGGCAUCGACUGUGGCCUUCAUGAUUAUUUGGCGCUCCAACCGUGAAAAGUGUAUCGGGCUCAGUUUACCCUAUGGAGACGCCGCAGAUUGGCUCAACGAGGAUCAGCCUGACGAAUCCAAUCCAAGUAGUAUCUUGGCAAAAAUUUUUCCUUGUACUGUACGAAGGAUCCUCUCAAAAGUUUUGAUUAGAAUUUAAGUUGUAAUAUUGUAACCGGC
rnacentral:sRNA from 2 species